AUUGAACGCUGGCGGCAUGCUUUACACAUGCAAGUCGAACGGUAACAGGCCGCAAGGUGCUGACGAGUGGCGAACGGGUGAGUAAUGCAUCGGAACGUGCCCAGUCGUGGGGAUAACUACUCGAAAGAGUAGCUAAUACCGCAUACGGACUAUGGAUGAAAGCGGGGGACCGUAAGGCCUCGCGCGAUUGGAGCGGCCGAUGUCAGAUUAGGUAGUUGGUGGGGUAAAGGCUCACCAAGCCAACGAUCUGUAGCUGGUCUGAGAGGACGACCAGCCACACUGGGACUGAGACACGGCCCAGACUCCUACGGGAGGCAGCAGUGGGGAAUUUUGGACAAUGGGCGCAAGCCUGAUCCAGCAAUGCCGCGUGCAGGAAGAAGGCCUUCGGGUUGUAAACUGCUUUUGUACGGAACGAAACGGCUCUGGUUAAUACCCGGGGCUAAUGACGGUACCGUAAGAAUAAGCACCGGCUAACUACGUG
rnacentral:rRNA from 1 species